UAUCGAUUUGAUCGAAUAAAAUUCUGGAUAAAGUAAUGAUAAUGACAUUGUUUAUCCAUGAGUCUUGACCAAGUUACGUGCCAGCAGUCGCGGUAAUACGUAAAAAACUAGUGUUAUUCAUCUUUAAGGGGUUUAAAGGGUACCUAGACGGCAUACUAAGCCUUAACUGGAACUGGUAUGCUAGAGUUACUUGUAAGGAAGUUUUAAAGUACUAGAGGAGUAGAGAUAAAAUUCAAUCAUACCUUUUUUCUUAGGAAAAACUUCGGCACAGGUAUAGGUGAAAACAUCUUCUUAUGGGAUAACUGACGUUGAGGGACGAAGGCUUUUUAUAAUGAACAGGAUUAGAUACCCUGGUAGUCGAAGCAGUAAACGCUGAGUGUCAUAGAUUAGAUUUAAAUUUAUUCUAUAAAUGAAAGUGUAAGCACUCCACCUCAAGAGUAAUUUGGCAACAUUGGAACUGAAAUCAUUAGACCGUAUCUGAAACCAGUAGUGAAGUAUGUUAUUUAAUUUGAUAAUCCGCAAAAAACCUUACCACAACUUGAAUACUUACAUAUUUACUUAUCUAACCNGUAUAUGUGCAGUUUCUUGCUUACGCAGCUACAUGUGCAGUUUCUUGCUUCCGUAGGUAUAUGACAGAAAUUGCAUCUUAUGCACUGUUCUUGAAUAGGUAAUAAUAUAUAGAUACAAGUGUUGCACGGCUGUCUAAAGUUAAUGUCGUAAGAUUAUGGUUAGUUCCGUUAAAUUAACGCAAACCCUUGCCCUA
rnacentral:rRNA from 1 species